rnacentral:rRNA from 1 species
UACAGAGGGGGCGAGCGUUGUUCGGAAUUACUGGGCGUAAAGGGCGCGUAGGCGGCCUGCUAAGUCGGACGUGAAAUCCCUCGGCUCAACCGGGGAACUGCGUCCGAUACUGGCGGGCUUGAAUCCGGGAGAGGAAUGCGGAAUUCCAGGUGUAGCGGUGAAAUGCGUAGAUAUCUGGAGGAACACCGGUGGCGAAGGCGGCGAUUCUGGACCGGCAUUGACGCUGAUGCGCGAAAGCCAGGGGAGCAAACGGG